CGAUUCGUGUUUACUUCGAGUAUAUGACUUUAGCCGGAUUAAGGUAAUCAAAAAUCUCUUUUUACAUGGUCGAUUCUUAAUAAACGUAAUGAUUGUUGGUUUAAAUAUGACCGAUAUCAGAUUUCCAGUGUGAACAGUGUGAACAGUGGACUCAGCGGAGGCCUGAGAGACGCGGACUGCAGCUGUAAUUUACCUGCUGGUGUCGCUGUUGGACAAUUUUUUCUUUAGAAAAAACAAGCGAUUUAUACGCUUUGUCAUAUUUUGUAAUAUUUGCGGUGUUUUAUUUUUAGUAUUAUGAAUUUGUUUCUCAUCCAAUAUUUUUUGCAUUGAACUCUUUGCCUCAGGGAAAACGGCCAUGGCUUAGAGAUGGGCUGAUAAUAGUGCUCACAAAAAAUGAUUUAGCUUGUCAUUGUAAUCAAGGCCUCUUUGCAAAUGGGACCCAAUUCCCUUUAGUAGUUUGCGUGUUUUCACUGAUGGUGUUUUGGUCUGUUUGAUUGAAGAGAGCUCUGCAGGUUUGAACAGACUGAUGAGCCAGUUGCUGACAAGUCUUCAUUGCUGAUGCCUGUUAAACUCGUUCCAAGGUCAAGAGGUAGAGGUGGUCAUUUUGUUCCAAACCCAAAAGUCUUCGAUAAAAAAGACUGGUUCGCAAACACAGCACGUGCACAAAUAUAAGAGACAGGAUUUUUUGCAUGAAUCAAUCACAGCCGACUACGACAAGUCAUAUCCAAUCAUAUUGCAAUGGAAGCAUGCCUCCUUUCACAUGACUUUCCCCCAUUCAUUCUCAAUAAUCCCCGGACCAAAGAGAGGCUUCACACUGUGAGCCUUAGUGCUCAAUUUUGAUUUUUGCAGUGUAUAACACUGGUGGGUGAUAGAAAUCUGAUUAUUUAUUACAUUUAUUUUAUUCAUAUUGUGAGAGUAAAAGUUUUUUAUGGGUUGUUAGUGUAUUACAUCUGUUUUUCAUUGAUGGAUUUUGUUUGUAGUGAUGUAUACUUCACAAUAAAGCACUGUAGAUAUUGUUAGUUGGUUUCUAUUAAUGGGGUCAGUUUCAUAUAACAUUGCCAACUGCUGUACCAUAUUUCAUCUAUCAUCCCUCACAAGCAUCAUAAAGUGUAUUUAUGCAUUAUAAAUAUCUCAAAGCUUGAAUCUGAAUUCCUUUCAUAUUACAUAAUCCCCAUCAAACCCUUUUUGCAAAUGUGUCCUCUUAAUUUUUGUCUAAU
rnacentral:lncRNA from 12 species